rnacentral:lncRNA from 1 species
GGGGUGUUAUAAGCAUUGAUUUAAUAAAUUGGUACAUUUUGCUAACCUUUGUUUUUUCAAAGGUGACUCUAAUUUUGUGACAUUUUUACAUUUCUGUUUCAUUGAGCCCCGUUUGACAACCAUUAUUUGAACUCUUUUUUUUACAUAUUAAUUUUCAACCAAACAUUUGCACAAUAAAAUAUUCUGCAUGAACCCAAAACUUUUUUCCUAGUUUUUAACAAUACAUUCUCCUAAAAAUCACUAUUCAAAACAUUGUUUUUCCAAAAUAAUGGUUGUCAAACAGGAGCUGAAUAUGAUGUUUCACUUUCCAAUAUAUAACUUAAGAAGACAGUUUCACUAUGUCGGGUUUUUUAUUUUUAAGACAGUGCUUAUGGCCUUUAUUGCAUUUGAUUGUGCAGUGGCCGUCUUCCACAGUCCCCACAGGAGUAUCUGAUCUUGGGUCUCAACCUUCUGAGACUCCUUGUGCAGAACAGAAUUGCUGAAUUCCAUACUGAGUUGGAAUUACUAUCUGAUGUUGCUUUGGAAAAUCCUUGCAUCAAGCAUGCUGUUGAGUUGGAACAAUCCUUCAUGGAGGGAGCUUAUAACCGUGUUUUGAGUGCUAGACAAACCGUACCUCAUGAAACCUACGUUUAUUUUAUGGAUUUGCUGGCAAAUACUGUCAGGUAUGUUUUUUCCUCCCCAUUUUUGGGUUUCAUUUGCUAUUUCAUUUUCUUCUUGGUAGUUGGAGUUGAUUUAGAACUAAUAAUUACCAUUUGUUACAAAAGCCAAUGGGAAGAAGUAGCUUCUUUAGAUAUUUAGAUACUGUUGUCAUUUCCAUCAACCUACUUGGAUCAGUUUCAUGCACAUUAUCAUGAGCUACUAAUUUACUUUACUGUUGCCUUAAUUUUUUAUCGGAACUCUGCUGCAUAAGAUAGUCCUUAAUGUGGGCGUGCUAUACAUAGAUUUCCAGUUGUAUUUUUGCUCCUGAAAUUUUAUUUGUUGUUGGUAGGGACGAGAUAGCUGGAUGCAGCGAGAAGGCAUAUGACAGCCUUUCCAUAAAGGACGCACAGCAAAUUCUUCUGUUUUCUUCAGAUUAUGAACUGGUUGAAUACAUUAAGAAAGUAAGUGCCUUGCAACACAUUGCUCCAAACCUUCACUCUACAUAAACCCAACACUGUGGGGUAAUCAAGUUUCCAAAUUUGGCCUUCUGCUAAUUAAGCCCAUGUUUGAUAGAAUUUUUUUGGAAAAAAUGAGUUUUUGAAUGGUAAAUUUUUGGGGAAUAUGUAGUUAAAAAGUAGAAAAGAGUUUUGUGUUUACGUGAAGAAUAUUUUACUACGAGGAUGUGUGAUUGAAAAUUAGUAUGAAAAAAAUUGUCAAACAGGUGCCAAAUGGGAGCAGCACUAAUUGCUUGUUUGGUAUUGUAGAUGAUAUGAUAAUACGAAGGACAAUAUUAAAGAUAAGAACGAAGUAAAAUUUUAUUUAUUAAAAUGUUAAACCUUGACUAGUACGUUGAGCAUUUACCAUUUGCAAUAUGUAGGAGCAUCCCGAGUGGGAGAUUGAGAAUGGGUUUGUAUUUUUCCAACGAGCCAAAGAAUCGGUGCCUUGCAAGGAAAUUCCAUCUUUGCAACUUAUCAAUCAGACGCUCAGUUAUGCAAGGGAAUUGGAGCGCAUCGUGUGAGGGAUGUGCUGCCCAGUCGUUGUUUGUUCUUCCAUUUUCAUUAUAUUUGGUGGCUAAUCCGUUGUUUCUGUUUGGGAGUAUUUAUUAACUACAUCACAAAAUCCAGAAUGACAAAAUAUUUAAACGUUGUUGGAUUUUUUUAUUUUUUUUGUAUUUUGUCGAUUUGAAUCCAUUUUUCGUAUUUUGUUGUGUUCCCAACAGAAGGCAUAUAAAUCUAGUGGAUAUGAUCUUUUUACUUAUUGGCACAGACCAUUUUAGUGGAUGCACAUAGCAUUACCGAUGAGUGAUGAGUUACCAUAUGGCCCGUAUGGCAUGUCUUUUUGCUUCUACUUCAGAUAGAAGAGUUUUAAGAGAGUUAAGUUUUGUUUGGAAACUAAUUUUCAAAAGAAUUUUUAAUUUCAGAAGUGUCUUUAGAGGAAGAUACAAUGGAC